GUGUCAGCCGCCGCGGUAAUACGUAGGGGGCAAGCGUUGUCCGGAUUUACUGGGCGUAAAGAGCGCGUAGGCGGAAGCUUAAGUGUGGCCUGAAAGCCCCCGGCUCAACCGGGGAAGGUGGCUGCAAACUGGGCUUCUUGAGGGGGAUAGGGGAAAGUGGAAUUCCGGGUGUAGCGGUGAAAUGCGUAGAGAUCCGGAGGAACACCAGUGGCGAAGGCGGCUUUCUGGGUCCGCCCUGACGCUGAGGCGCGAAAGCGUGGGGAGCGAACGGGAUUAGAUACCCCCGUAGUCC
rnacentral:rRNA from 1 species